rnacentral:lncRNA from 1 species
GACAAAGAGUAGAGAGAAAGGUAAUUCUAAAGCUAAUGCGAAAUGCUGGACAUUUUGCUUUUGGGAGGCGGUGAGAGACUCAGCUGGCCGGGAAGGGGGCCUAUGAGCCACUGAGUUUCUAACAAUGUAAUCAAGAGUCAACACGUGGGCAGAAAAUAGGACGCUUUGAAAUUCACUAUCUUCAGAAAGCCUUUCCAGACUCCAGCUACUCUUCUGCCGCGGCUUUCUUACUUCUUUUCUCUUCUCGGCUUAUUUGGGUUGGCUUCUUUGCCCACGACUGUCACUCUCCACCAAAGACAGAGGAUCCGAUGCAGGAGGCAGACAGAGCUGGGCUUCAACGCCAUGCCACUUGCUGUGGUGAGAGAAGACUCGCGGGACAAUCUGACUCUGUUUAUCUACAAAGUUAGAUUAUGAAACCAGCACUUUUGAAUUUUACCUCUUGCAAAUUAACUGAUUUUUCCUUCAAUGAAUCAAAAUGACGGAAGGAUGGCCAAAGCAACCAGGCCAAUUUUCCCACGCGGGCCCAGGGAUGCUUGACAAACACCACCGCACCAGCCCUCCAAUCUCUCCAGAGAUUCUCUGCAGGUCGGUCCUGCUGGUGUGACCACAGGGGCGGGUAGGCGAGCACGAGGAGGUCUUGCUUAUCUGUGAAUGCGCUUGGCACUGGCCGGAAGCUCCUGUGUCAGAUUUGCAGAUUGAACACAUGAAGUGUGUGGGGAAAGUGGAGGCUGCUGAGAGUGACCGGAAAUGCCAGGCCUGGCUUCUGUCCCCCUGAGUGCCUUACUCUGUCUUCUGGGCAAGAUGUAAAGUCCUGCUUUUGGACUUGGCUUUGCCCUGCUCCAUGAUUUCCGUUCCUUGUCUCUGUUCCCAUCCUCUGCUCACUAUUGUUUUUCUGACUUGAACAGUCAUCCAGAAAGCCUCAGAAAUAGGACCUUUGUAUCAUUACUGACUUUUCUAAUUAUAUAUGCCUUUCCCCUCCCCAAUGCUUGAAGACAUCAAAUUGCAGUUGAAAUAACAGCAUGGGGAAAAAAGCAAGAACAACAACAACAAACCGCUUCACUCCUCUGGGUAGAAACAUGCAAUUGUACCGAGAGGGAUAAGGGAGAAGGAAAAAACUGCUCAUAUUUGGAGGAAGAAGUUGGAAUAAGAGAGUGAGAGCAGACGGGCUACUUUGGCAUAUGAUGCAAGCAUGUGAGAAAGGAGUCCAGUGCGUUCGUUGGACAGCGAGGCUGUGAUGCCAUGCCCAGUAUAGAGUCCCAAAGGCCUGGUCUGGCUGGGAUCCUCUUUUUGGACUUUGGAUCCUUGAAAUAGGAGUAGCUGCUCCUGAGACUUGACCUGCCUUGCCAUCCUAGAGGCAGGCGGGGACUUUAGGAAACCAGUUUUGUUGAUGCACCUGGGUUCCAGUCC